rnacentral:rRNA from 1 species
UACGUAGGGUGCGAGCGUUGUCCGGAAUUAUUGGGCGUAAAGGGCUCGUAGGCGGUUUGUCGCGUCGGGAGUGAAAACACUGGGCUUAACUCAGUGCUUGCUUUCGAUACGGGCAGACUAGAGGUAUGCAGGGGAGAACGGAAUUCCUGGUGUAGCGGUGAAAUGCGCAGAUAUCAGGAGGAGCACCGGUGGCGAAGGCGGAUCUCUGGGCCGUAACUGACGCUGAGGAGCGAAAGCAUGGGGAGCGAACAGG